AUAGACUAUAGUUAUGCCCAUUGCCGUAAGUGGGGGUAAGAUUACUGUGCCAACAAUAAUGUGGCUCAUCAAAGCUUAUUCCCAGUCCCAUGUGGCUGUGCAAUAACCCAUGUGCCCACACUC